rnacentral:rRNA from 1 species
UACGUAGGGUGCGAGCGUUAAUCGGAAUUACUGGGCGUAAAGCGUGCGCAGGCGGUCUGUUAAGACCGAUGUGAAAUCCCCGGGCUUAACCUGGGAACUGCAUUGGUGACUGGCAGGCUUUGAGUGUGGCAGAGGGAGGUAGAAUUCCACGUGUAGCAGUGAAAUGCGUAGAGAUGUGGAGGAAUACCGAUGGCGAAGGCGAGUCCCUGGACAACUUCUGACGCUGAGGCACGAAAGCUAGGGGAGCAAACAGG